rnacentral:rRNA from 1 species
CGGACGGGUGAGUAAUGCUUGGGAAUCUGGCUUAUGGAGGGGGAUAACUACGGGAAACUGUAGCUAAUACCGCGUAGUAUCGAGAGAUGAAAGACUGGGACCGCAAGGCCAGUUGCCAUAAGAUGAGCCCAAGUGGGAUUAGGUAGUUGGUGGGGUAAAGGCCUACCAAGCCGACGAUCUCUAGCUGGUCUGAGAGGAUGACCAGCCACACUGGAACUGAGACACGGUCCAGACUCCUACGGGAGGCAGCAGUGGGGAAUAUUGCGCAAUGGGGGGAACCCUGACGCAGCCAUGCCGCGUGAAUGAAGAAGGCCUUCGGGUUGUAAAGUUCUUUCGGUGAUGAGGAAGGCAGGUAAGUGAAUAGCUUGCUUGAUUGACGUUAGUCACAGAAGAAGCACCGGCUAACUCCGUGCCAGCAGCCGCGGUAAUACGGAGGGUGCGAGCGUUAAUCGGAAUAACUGGGCGUAAAGGGCACGCAGGCGGUGACUUAAGUGAGAUGUGAAAUCCCCGAGCUUAACUUGGGAACUGCAUUUCAGACUGGGUUGCUAGAGUAUUUUAGGGAGGGGUAGAAUUCCACGUGUAGCGGUGAAAUGCGUAGAGAUGUGGAGGAAUACCGAAGGCGAAGGCAGCCCCUUGGGAAUAUACUGACGCUCAUGUGCGAAAGCGUGGGGAGCAAACAGGAUUAGAUACCCUGGUAGUCCACGCU